CAGAUUCUAUCAGAUUUAUUACAUUCGGAGCACUGUUUAGAACCAUAUAGCAGAAAAACGUUUACUCAAAACUCAAGAGACCUCUAUUUACCAAACGGUUGUACAUACAUCUUUCAGAUAUAGGAGUACAGAUCUCUGGUGGUCUUUUAAGGAAAUAUUAACAAGAUUUAUGAGUUUCCAGCUCAUUUAAACACAUUAAAUAAGCAAUUUCCUAAAAAUUGCAAAGGCACAUAGGAGAUGCUCUAGGAGCAAUGUAUAAGUACAC
rnacentral:lncRNA from 1 species